rnacentral:rRNA from 1 species
UACACUCCUGCGGGAGGCAGCAGUGGGGAAUUUUGGACAAUGGGCGAAAGCCUGAUCCAGCAAUGCCGCGUGAGUGAAGAAGGCCUUCGGGUUGUAAAGCUCUUUUGUCAGGGAAGAAACGGUGAAAGCUAAUAUCUUUUGCUAAUGACGGUACCUGAAGAAUAAGCACCGGCUAACUACGUGCCAGCAGCCGCGGUAAUACGUAGGGUGCAAGCGUUAAUCGGAAUUACUGGGCGUAAAGCGUGCGCAGGCGGUUUUGUAAGUCUGAUGUGAAAUCCCCGGGCUCAACCUGGGAAUUGCAUUGGAGACUGCAAGGCUAGAAUCUGGCAGAGGGGGGUAGAAUUCCACGUGUAACAGUGAAAUGCGUAGAUAUGUGGAGGAACACCGAUGGCGAAGGCAGCCCCCUGGGUCAAGAUUGACGCUCAUGCACGAAAGCGUGGGGAGCAAACAGGAUUAGAUACCCCUGUAGUCCCAG